rnacentral:lncRNA from 1 species
CUGGGUCGGGGGCUGCAGGUGGGAGUGAGCAAAUGUGCUGUCUCGCCACCUCGGGACAGGUGGUAGGGCCUCUGACACAGAGUGGUCCUUCCUGCUGUUCACAGCUCAGCUCACCGUGGGCUGACCAUAGAUUCUCGUUGAAAUCCUAACGCCCCAGGCAAUGAUGUUAGGAGGCGGGGCUUCUGGGAGAUGGCAAGUUCGUGAGGCUGCAGCUCUGCUGGGGGAUCAGUGUCCUUCUACAAGCGGCUCCAGGGAGGUCCCUUGCCCCUUCCACCAUGUGAGGACCCGAGAUGGUGCCGUCUAUGAACCGGGAAGUGAGUCCUCUCCGGACGUGGAACAAGUUGGUGCCUUGAUUUUGAACUUGCAGCCUCCAGGUGAGCCGCUGCUUGGGGUGAGCAUGCUUCCUGCUGGAUGCUUCUCUAUGUAAGCACCUGCCUGAGUGUCAGCCCUCUUAAGGUGAACCGCUCCGUGUCAUUCGUACAUUCACAAGUUUGUGCCGCCAUCAUCGUGAUCGGAUUCCAAAACAUUUUCAUCACCUCCAAGAAAGCCUUGUACCUGGCAGCAGUCACUGUCUCUAUGGAUUUGCUUAUUCUGGACAUUUCAUAAAAAUAGAAUCAAACAGCA